rnacentral:rRNA from 1 species
UCGAGNGGAUGAGCUGGAGCUUGCUNNAUGAUUCAGCGNACGGACGNGUGAGCUAAUGCNCUAUCGUAAUCAUGCCUGAGUAGCUGGAGAGGAUAACGCUUUUUAAAGGAACGCUAAUACCGCAUAC